GAUGAACGCUGGCGGCGUGCCUAAUACAUGCAAGUCGAGCGAACGGACGAGAAGCUUGCUUCUCUGAUGUUAGCGGCGGACGGGUGAGUAACACGUGGAUAACCUACCUAUAAGACUGGGAUAACUUCGGGAAACCGUAGCUAAUACCGGAUAAUAUUUUGAACCGCAUGGUUCAAAAGUGAAAGACGGUCUUGCUGUCACUUAUAGAUGGAUCCGCGCUGCAUUAGCUAGUUGGUAAGGUAACGGCUUACCAAGGCAACGAUGCAUAGCCGACCUGAGAGGGUGAUCGGCCACACUGGAACUGAGACACGGUCCAGACUCCUACGGGAGGCAGCAGUAGGGAAUCUUCCGCAAUGGGCGAAAGCCUGACGGAGCAACGCCGCGUGAGUGAUGAAGGUCUUCGGAUCGUAAAACUCUGUUAUUAGGGAAGAACAUAUGUGUAAGUAACUGUGCACAUCUUGACGGUACCAAUCAGAAAGCCACGGCUAACUACGUG
rnacentral:rRNA from 1 species